UUGGUUAAGUUAGAAAGGGCGCACGGUGGAUGCCUUGGCACUAGGAGCCGAAGAAGGACGGGACUAACACCGAUAUGCUUUGGGGAGCUGUACGUAAGCGUUGAUCCAGAGAUUUCCGAAUGGGGGAACCCACUAUCUUUAGUCGGAUAGUAUCCUUACGUGAAUACAUAGCGUGAGGAAGGCAGACCCAGGGAACUGAAACAUCUAAGUACCUGGAGGAAGAGAAAGAAAAAUCGAUUUCCUGAGUAGCGGCGAGCGAAACGGAAAGAGCCCAAACCAAGAAGCUUGCUUCUUGGGGUUGUAGGACACUCUAUACGGAGUUACAAAAGAAAGUUAUAAAUGAAGCGGUCUGGAAAGGCCCGCCAAAGACGGUAACAGCCCGGUAGUUGAAAUGGCUUUCCCUCCAGAGUGGAUCCUGAGUACGGCGGAACACGUGAAAUUCCGUCGGAAUCCGGGAGGACCAUCUCCCAAGGCUAAAUACUCCCUAGUGACCGAUAGUGAACCAGUACCGUGAGGGAAAGGUGAAAAGCACCCCGGAAGGGGAGUGAAACAGUUCCUGAAACCGUGUGCCUACAAGUAGUUAGAGCCCGUUAAUGGGUGAUAGCGUGCCUUUUGUAGAAUGAACCGGCGAGUUACGAUUUGUUGCAAGGUUAAGCGGNGGAGCCGUAGCGAAAGCGAGUCUGAAUAGGGCGCAUAAGUAACAGGUCGUAGACCCGAAACCAGGUGAUCUACCCAUGUCCAGGAUGAAGGUAAGGUAAUACUUACUGGAGGUCCGAACCCACGCACGUUGAAAAGUGCGGGGAUGAGGUGUGGGUAGCGGAGAAAUUCCAAUCGAACUUGGAGAUAGCUGGUUCUCUCCGAAAUAGCUUUAGGGCUAGCCUCGAGGUAAAGAGUCAUGGAGGUAGAGCACUGUUUGGACUAGGGGCCCUUCUCGGGUUACCGAAUUCAGAUAAACUCCGAAUGCCAUGUACUUAUACUCGGGAGUCAGACUGCGAGUGAUAAGAUCCGUAGUCGAAAGGGAAACAGCCCAGACCACCAGUUAAGGUCCCCAAAUAUAUGUUAAGUGGAAAAGGAUGUGGGGUUGCUUAGACAACCAGGAUGUUGGCUUAGAAGCAGCCACCAUUGAAAGAGUGCGUAAUAGCUCACUGGUCGAGUGACCCCGCGCCGAAAAUGUACCGGGGCUAAACAUAUUACCGAAACUGUGGAUGAACCUCUUUAGAGGUUCGUGGUAGGAGAGCGUUCUAAGGGCGGUGAAGUCAGACCGGAAGGACUGGUGGAGCGCUUAGAAGUGAGAAUGCCGGUAUGAGUAGCGAAAGAAGGGUGAGAAUCCCUUCCACCGAAUAUCUAAGGUUUCCUGAGGAAGGCUCGUCCGCUCAGGGUUAGUCGGGACCUAAGCCGAGGCCGAUAGGCGUAGGCGAUGGACAACAGGUAGAGAUUCCUGUACCAGUGCUAAUUGUUUAACCGAUGGGGUGACACAGAAGGAUAGGGAAUCGCACGAAUGGAAAUGUGCGUCCAAGCAGUGAGUGUGAGAAGUAGGCAAAUCCGCUUCUCGCGAAGCAUGAGCUGUGAUGGGGAAGGAAAUUAAGUACGGAAGUUCCUGAUUUCACGCUGUCAAGAAAAGCCUCUAGGAAGAGUAGUACUGCCCGUACCGCAAACCGACACAGGUAGAUGAGGAGAGAAUCCUAAGGUGAGCGAGAGAACUCUCGUUAAGGAACUCGGCAAAAUGACCCCGUAACUUCGGGAGAAGGGGUGCUCUAUUAGGGUGCAAGCCCGAGAGAGCCGCAGUGAAUAGGCCCAGGCGACUGUUUAGCAAAAACACAGGUCUCUGCAAAACCGUAAGGUGACGUAUAGGGGCUGACGCCUGCCCGGUGCUGGAAGGUUAAGAGGAGUGCUUAGCUUCGGCGAAGGUACGAAUUGAAGCCCCAGUAAACGGCGGCCGUAACUAUAACGGUCCUAAGGUAGCGAAAUUCCUUGUCGGGUAAGUUCCGACCCGCACGAAAGGCGCAACGAUCUGGGCACUGUCUCAACGAGAGACUCGGUGAAAUUAUAGUACCUGUGAAGAUGCAGGUUACCCGCGACAGGACGGAAAGACCCCGUGGAGCUUUACUGCAACCUGAUAUGGAAUGUUUGUACCGCUUGUACAGGAUAGGUAGGAGCCGAAGAGACGUGUGCGCUAGCAUACGAGGAGGCAAUGGUGGGAUACUACCCUGGCUGUAUGACCAUUCUAACCCGCCACGCUUAGCGCGUGGGGAGACAGUGUCAGGUGGGCAGUUUGACUGGGGCGGUCGCCUCCUAAAGAGUAACGGAGGCGCCCAAAGGUUCCCUCAGAAUGGAUGGAAAUCAUUCGCAGAGUGUAAAGGCACAAGGGAGCUUGANGGAGGCGCCCAAAGGUUCCCUCAGAAUGGAUGGAAAUCAUUCGCAGAGUGUAAAGGCACAAGGGAGCUUGACUGCGAGACUGACAAGUCGAGCAGGGACGAAAGUCGGGCUUAGUGAUCCGGUGGUUCCGCAUGGAAGGGCCAUCGCUCAACGGAUAAAAGCUACCCCGGGGAUAACAGGCUUAUCUCCCCCAAGAGUCCACAUCGACGGGGAGGUUUGGCACCUCGAUGUCGGCUCGUCGCAUCCUGGGGCUGUAGUCGGUCCCAAGGGUUGGGCUGUUCGCCCAUUAAAGCGGCACGCGAGCUGGGUUCAGAACGUCGUGAGACAGUUCGGUCCCUAUCCGUCGCGGGCGCAGGAAAUUUGAGAGGAGCUGUCCUUAGUACGAGAGGACCGGGAUGGACACACCGCUGGUGUACCAGUUGUUCCGCCAGGAGCAUCGCUGGGUAGCUAUGUGUGGCAGGGAUAAACGCUGAAAGCAUCUAAGCGUGAAGCCCCCCUCAAGAUGAGAUUUCCCAUUUCUUCGGAAAGUAAGAUCCCUGAAAGAUGAUCAGGUAGAUAGGUUUGGAGUGGAAGUGUAGCGAUACAUGGAGCGGACAAAUACUAAUCGAUCGAGGACUUAACCAAAA
rnacentral:rRNA from 1 species